GCUGGCCUUGGAUGAGCACAGUUACUCCUCCUUGCCCCUUGGUCUUUUGAAUCCUGACAAUCUCUAUUCUCCACUUGGAAAAGGGAGAUCAGGAAGCCCUGUGGAGAUCCAUUCACAAGGUGCUCGGCCCACAAUAAGAGACAGUCCGGUUUGGCCAAUAUACAUGGCCGAGGGGCAUUGCUGCCACUUAAUGACAUAGAUCACAUUAGAGGAUGUGCAGUUGUAUGAACCACUGAUGUUCUGGCUUAAGAGGUCCUGUCCUGCUGUCACAUCGAUAGAUGUGUGGACAGGGUUGGCAAUGGGGAGUGUUGCAGGGGUGAAUGGGUCUGAGGUAUGAUCUGUGAAUGCUGGAAAUUAUUUGCAUCAGGUAGGAUGGUUGAAAUACUCCAACCACUAGGGCUGCUACCUCUUCCUAUGAAGAAGUCCCCCACACCCAAGGGGCCAGUGCUGCGGGCCCUUCCCCACAGCAAACUGAGCUCUACAGCGCAGGGCUGGGCUUCUGCACAAGCACCCACCAUUAUUUCCUGUUUAUAUUUACAUUACUUCUGCGGGGGCCUGAUCCGAGGCCCGGGAGGCGAAAGAAGGAAAUUACAGAGCAGCUGGCAGUGAGCUCAGCUCCCACAGGUAGGCGGAUGCUGACUUGCAGUGUUACCGACAAGAACACCCCGUACCACAGGGACAUGCACCACGGCCGACAGGGUAGGUACAAGCAAUUGGCACCUACGGGUACGUGGAGAAGGACUCCCGCUCGCGCAGACAGGUGGCCGGGGAGCACAGCUCCUAUGGCCAGGAGAUCAGGUCUCCACGCGAAUGGACAGGCUGCCAGUGAGCUCAGCUCCCUCGGGCAAGUGGACGAUGAGCCCCGCUGUUACGGACAAGAUGCCCAGGAACCUGCUAAAACCGGCCGGUUGCCAGCGAGCCCCCUGCCUGUAGCCAUCAGCCAGCGCGAUUUCCGCCAACCACCACUUCACCUCAGCACACGCCUCUGGGCCCUGACGGGCUGGACCAGUGAGCUUGGCACAGGGGGAGCCUGUGUGUAUCUCUGAGCAACGGGACUCUCGGCGAAGGACUGUUCUCCCAGCUCGCACAGGCAGGGGCGGUUGAGCGCCGCUCUGGUGGGCACGGUUGCCUCAAGGCCAGUUCCGACAGGCAGGGGCCCUCGAUACACGCUCCGCUGGGCAGGGGGCCGGCCAGCCUAGCUCCAUGUGACCAAAGGCCCCUGACAGAUUGCUUCCUUCCCCUUCCAACAGCCACCAGUUUUCCUUGCCGAUCAAUUCCUUCCACCAGUCAGUGAAUGCGGCUCCCGCCCCAACACCGAUUGUCACCUCACCCAGAUUGACUGUCCAUUUCUGCCUUUGGUUCCGUCAGGCUGCUAAUAAGUUCAGCUCCCACAAGCAGGCAACUGAUGACUCCCACCCUUGCUGACAAGCCGGCAGGGAGCUCAGAGCCCACAGGCGUCUAGACAGGAGGUACAGGGCUGAACCGGGACGGGGCUACAAGGGCAGCUGCCCAGGGCAUGAAGCUGUGGGGGAAGAAAAAUGGACAGGUUUGUGGGGGAGUUCUAUGGUUCCCACGUUCCCCCUCCCCCAGCUUUAUGCCUUCCACUUGGUACGGAGGGUUGCAAACCUUUGGAAUACCGUCACCUCUUUGCAGGAGCUGACUCACCCAUGCGAGCAGCUGGUGCUGCAGUCAUAUCCCCGGAGCAAACCCCUUCUUGCAGGGCUACUUCACUAACUCCCAGCAUUCCUUGCAGCUUCCUUUUUAUUACUUGCGUAGGGGCCUGAUCCGAGGCCCGGGAGGCGAAAGAAGGAAGUUACAGAGCGGCUGGCAGUGAGUUUGACUCCCACAGGUAGGCGGAUGCUGACUUGCAGUGUUACCGACAAGAACACCCCGUACCACAGGGACAUGCACCACGGCCGACAGGGUAGGUACAAGCAAUUGGCACCUACGGGUACGUGGAGAAGGACUCCCGCUCGCGCAGACAGGUGGCCGGGGAGCACAGCUCCUAUGGCCAGGAGAUCAGGUCUCCACGCGAAUGGACAGGCUGCCAGUGAGCUCAGCUCCCUCGGGCAAGUGGACGAUGAGCCCCGCUGUUACGGACAAGAUGCCCAGGAACCUGCUAAAACCGGCCGGUUGCCAGCGAGCCCCCUGCCUGUAGCCAUCAGCCAGCGCGAUUUCCGCCAACCACCACUUCACCUCAGCACACGCCUCUGGGCCCUGACGGGCUGGACCAGUGAGCUUGGCACAGGGGGAGCCUGUGUGUAUCUCUGAGCAACGGGACUCUCGGCGAAGGACUGUUCUCCCAGCUCGCACAGGCAGGGGCGGUUGAGCGCCGCUCUGGUGGGCACGGUUGCCUCAAGGCCAGUUCCGACAGGCAGGGGCCCUCGAUACACGCUCCGCUGGGCAGGGGGCCGGCCAGCCUAGCUCCAUGUGACCAAAGGCCCCUGACAGAUUGCUUCCUUCCCCUUCCAACAGCCACCAGUUUUCCUUGCCGAUCAAUUCCUUCCACCAGUCAGUGAAUGCGGCUCCCGCCCCAACACCGAUUGUCACCUCACCCAGAUUGACUGUCCAUUUCUGCCUUUGGUUCCGUCAGGCUGCUAAUAAGUUCAGCUCCCACAAGCAGGCAACUGAUGACUCCCACCCUUGCUGACAAGCCGGCAGGGAGCUCAGAGCCCACAGGCGUCUAGACAGGAGGUACAGGGCUGAACCGGGACGGGGCUACAAGGGCAGCUGCCCAGGGCAUGAAGCUGUGGGGGAAGAAAAAUGGACAGGUUUGUGGGGGAGUUCUAUGGUUCCCAUGUUCCCCCUCCCCCAGCUUUAUUCCUUCCACUUGGUACGGAGGGUUUCAAACCUUUGGAAUACCGUCACCUCUUUGCAGGAGCUGACUCACCCAUGCGAGCAGCUGGUGCUGCAGUCAUAUCCCCGGAGCAAACCCCUUCUUGCAGGGCUACUUCACUAACUCCCAGCAUUCCUUGCAGCUUCCUUUUUAUUACUUGCGUAGGGGCCUGAUCCGAGGCCCGGGAGGCGAAAGAAGGAAGUUACAGAGCGGCUGGCAGUGAGUUUGACUCCCACAGGUAGGCGGAUGCUGACUUGCAGUGUUACCGACAAGAACACCCCGUACCACAGGGACAUGCACCACGGCCGACAGGGUAGGUACAAGCAAUUGGCACCUACGGGUACGUGGAGAAGGACUCCCGCUCGCGCAGACAGGUGGCCGGGGAGCACAGCUCCUAUGGCCAGGAGAUCAGGUCUCCACGCGAAUGGACAGGCUGCCAGUGAGCUCAGCUCCCUCGGGCAAGUGGACGAUGAGCCCCGCUGUUACGGACAAGAUGCCCAGGAACCUGCUAAAACCGGCCGGUUGCCAGCGAGCCCCCUGCCUGUAGCCAUCAGCCAGCGCGAUUUCCGCCAACCACCACUUCACCUCAGCACACGCCUCUGGGCCCUGACGGGCUGGACCAGUGAGCUUGGCACAGGGGGAGCCUGUGUGUAUCUCUGAGCAACGGGACUCUCGGCGAAGGACUGUUCUCCCAGCUCGCACAGGCAGGGGCGGUUGAGCGCCGCUCUGGUGGGCACGGUUGCCUCAAGGCCAGUUCCGACAGGCAGGGGCCCUCGAUACACGCUCCGCUGGGCAGGGGGCCGGCCAGCCUAGCUCCAUGUGACCAAAGGCCCCUGACAGAUUGCUUCCUUCCCCUUCCAACAGCCACCAGUUUUCCUUGCCGAUCAAUUCCUUCCACCAGUCAGUGAAUGCGGCUCCCGCCCCAACACCGAUUGUCACCUCACCCAGAUUGACUGUCCAUUUCUGCCUUUGGUUCCGUCAGGCUGCUAAUAAGUUCAGCUCCCACAAGCAGGCAACUGAUGACUCCCACCCUUGCUGACAAGCCGGCAGGGAGCUCAGAGCCCACAGGCGUCUAGACAGGAGGUACAGGGCUGAACCGGGACGGGGCUACAAGGGCAGCUGCCCAGGGCAUGAAGCUGUGGGGGAAGAAAAAUGGACAGGUUUGUGGGGGAGUUCUAUGGUUCCCACGUUCCCCCUCCCCCAGCUUUAUGCCUUCCACUUGGUACGGAGGGUUGCAAACCUUUGGAAUACCGUCACCUCUUUGCAGGAGCUGACUCACCCAUGCGAGCAGCUGGUGCUGCAGUCAUAUCCCCGGAGCAAACCCCUUCUUGCAGGGCUACUUCACUAACUCCCAGCAUUCCUUGCAGCUUCCUUUUUAUUACUUGCGUAGGGGCCUGAUCCGAGGCCCGGGAGGCGAAAGAAGGAAGUUACAGAGCGGCUGGCAGUGAGUUUGACUCCCACAGAUUUCUUCCCCGGACCGGGACCAGGGAGGAGCCGAGCUUUGAGCUGUAGAGUCGCCGGGUCCGGGCGCAGCACGUGGCCUCGGGUGCAGCGAGAGGAGAUCCGGUCGUAGGGGUAGCGUGAGAGGAUCGCACACUGCAGAGCGUCCUCGGAUGAAGGAGUCAGCGCUGCCCGAAGGCUCCAUCUGCUCUGAGGAUGGUGAAGGACCUGAGGGAAGCUGCGUCACGCGAGUGCAAAAUCAGGCGCCAACGGCACCACGAGACGGCUACUGCACAUGGGCAGGGCGGCCAGGCACCGCGAGCAACAUUCUGCGAUCGUUGGGACGAGGAGCCACCGGCACGUUCGAGAGGAGCACCCACAGCGUGGAGCACCCACGGGGCACCGCUUGAAGGAGAAGCGAGGCACGUGGCCAGGGGCCUGAGGGAAUCCGGCAACUCACACCAGCUUCCACUCCAGCAGCUCCUGGCUGGAGGUGACUGUUUUCAAGCUGCGAGACAUUAGUAAAGAGGAGAAAUACUGCAGCAGAACAAUGAGAGAGCAAAAGAGAGAGAGAGAUUUAGAAUAAAAGUGUCAAAGGUGGAAUCAUUUUUGUUUGCUUGUUUUAU